AAAAUUUGUGACCACUUAUUAUAUAGCAGAUCAUCUAGAGAAUAAUUACAUUUUAUAUUCUAUAUUCAUAAAUUGAUUUAUUCUUAAUUAUCUGGUAAUAUAUUUGAUUACUUAAUUAGGACUCAGACCUUUGCAAUUUGUAAUUUCAGUGAAUGAUAAAAGCUGAAGCUCUAUUAAAAGGGAAAGUGAAUAUGGGAAGAGGUAAAGAAACAAGUUGCUUUUUGGACUGUGUGACCCACAGGGAGCCAGCGUCAUUGUAGCUGUGCUCUGAAAUAGUUUCUCCAUAGUCUUUGAGUCAGAAGCUUUCAGGAGAAAAAAAUCCAGUUUUUUUGGGUUAAGAGGUUAUCAAGGUCCUGAGAAGUAACUUAUAAAAGGUAAAAUUUACCCUAAAAGGUUAAGUAUACUCAAGUGAAUUU
rnacentral:lncRNA from 10 species